rnacentral:misc_RNA from 1 species
UUUCCGUAGGUGAACCUGCGGAAGGAUCAUACAGAGUUCAUGCCCUCACGGGUAGAUCUCCCACCCUUGAAUAUUUAUACCUUAGUUGCUUUGGCAGGCCGUGGAAACACCAUGGGCUCCGGCUUAUGCGUGCCUGCCAGAGGAAACAAACUCUGUUUUUAGUGAUGUCUGAGUACUAUAUAAUAGUUAAAACUUUCAACAACGGAUCUCUUGGUUCUG